rnacentral:rRNA from 1 species
AGUGAACGCUGGCGGUAGGCCUAACACAUGCAAGUCGAACGGCAGCACAGGAGAGCUUGCUCUCUGGGUGGCGAGUGGCGGACGGGUGAGGAAUACAUCGGAAUCUACUCUGUCGUGGGGGAUAACGUAGGGAAACUUACGCUAAUACCGCAUACGACCUACGGGUGAAAGCAGGGGACCUUCGGGCCUUGCGCGAUUGAAUGAGCCGAUGUCGGAUGAGCUAGUUGGCGGGGUAAAGGCCCACCAAGGCGACGAUCCGUAGCUGGACGGAGGGGCGAAUCAGCCACACGGGAGCUGAGACACGGCCCAGACUCCUACGGGAGGCCACAGUGGGGAAACUUGGACCAUGGGGGGAAGGCUGAUCCAGCCAUACCGCGUGGGUGAAGAAGGCGUUCGGGUUGUAAAGCCCUUUUGCUGGGAAAGAAAGCCAGCUGGCUAAUACCCGGUUGGGAUGACGGUACCCAAAGAAUAAGCACCGGCUAACUUCGUGCCAGCCGCCGCCGUAA